rnacentral:rRNA from 1 species
GGACUACAAGGGUAUCUAAUCCUGUUUGCUCCCCACGCUUUCGUGCCUGAUCGUCAGUUGUGAGCCAGAUAGCCGCCUUCGCCACCGGUGUUCCACCCAAUCUCUACGCAUUUCACCGCUACACUGGGUAUUCCACUAUCCCCUCUCACACUCUAGUACUGAGGUCUCGCAGGCAGUUCCAGGGUUAAGCCCUGGGAUUUCACCCGCGACUCUCAAUACCGACUACGCACGCUUUACGCCCAGUAAUUCCGAACAACGCUUGCACCCUCUGUAUUACCGCGGCUGCUGGCAC